rnacentral:rRNA from 1 species
AACGAACGCUGGCGGCAUGCCUAACACAUGCAAGUCGAACGAGACCUUCGGGUCUAGUGGCGCACGGGUGCGUAACGCGUGGGAACCUGCCCUUAGGUUCGGAAUAACUCCCCGAAAGGGGUGCUAAUACCGGAUAAUGUCUUCGGACCAAAGAUUUAUCGCCUUUGGAUGGGCCCGCGUUGGAUUAGCUUGUUGGUAGGGUAAAAGCCUACCAAGGCGACGAUCCAUAGCUGGUCUGAGAGGAUGAUCAGCCACACUGGGACUGAGACACGGCCCAGACUCCGACGGGAGGCAGCAGUGGGGAAUAUUGGACAAUGGGCGAAAGCCUGAUCCAGCAAUGCCGCGUGAGUGAUAAAGGCCUUAGGGUUGUAAAGCUCUUUUACCCGGGAUGAUAAUGACAGUACCGGGAGAAUAAGCUCCGGCUAACUCCGUG